rnacentral:lncRNA from 1 species
UCCUCUUCCAACCAGCCCAAAGUUUUGUGGUUUAAGUGAGAGGCGCUGGAGAAAAGGUAAGCCUUUAACUAUCCUGAAUGAUUUUGACAGAUGGGACUGGAGGAAAAUGAGAGGUAGGAGGUGGACACUGUAAGCUAUGGUGUAGGCAGUGAAACAUGCUGCAAGCAUUGAGGCUAGAAGCACAACUUCCCAGCUCACUUUGACCACCCUUCAGCAUGGAUGUAUAUAUCCUGGGCACUAAAUAAAACUUUACAGCUUCUGAGCUUAAAG